CUGUAAAAUGAGGUGAGAGGACAUAGUUUUCAGUCACUUGAGGAAUUAUUUCCCUGCUGAGAAAAGGGCAAACAGUAAAUAAUUUCAUUUUAUUUAAUACUAAAGAUACAAAAGAUGUCUCUUUUUAAUUAGUUUCUAAAACACUGUCCAAAAAUCCUCUUGGCUCUAGGGCAAAUCUUUUAAUAGAACCAAAAAAUAGCAAAAGAGGAAGAUAAGAAAAGGAAGAAAUACUUUUUGCCCCAAAACUGGUCUCUGGCUUGUGUUUAAUUCAAGGAGUACUCUCUGAGGAAAGGAGGUGGGAAGAACGGUAAAUGGCUAAAGUCCACAGUCCUCUUCCAUCACGAGGAACUCUGGGAGAUAAUGAGACAGAAAUGCUUGACAGGUCUCCCCAAGGACAAGGCCAACAAGCUGCUUCAAGUGGCAGCUCCAAAGAGUUCAUCAGACAAGAAGUGCAAGGAAACAAGGAAGAUGAAUAAGGUACAAUGUCUGUUGUUCUUUGGUUAAGAAAUCCUGAUUCAAUUCAUUUCAUUCAUAUCAUUUUCUGUAAUCUCCCAACCAAGUGAAUUAGACACUACUUAUGAAUUCUAUUGAAAGCUACAUCAAAUAUCCUUGAGAAGCAGGAAACAAAU
rnacentral:lncRNA from 12 species